GGUAAUAAUUUUGAAAAUGCUAAGGAUGAAAGUCUAUGCGUUUCAAC
rnacentral:misc_RNA from 1 species